rnacentral:rRNA from 1 species
UACAGAGGUCCCGAGCGUUGUUCGGAUUCAUUGGGCGUAAAGGGUUCGUAGGCGGUGUAGCAAGUCGGGAGUGAAAUCUCUGGGCUUAACCCAGAGGCUGCUUCCGAAACUGCUGUGCUUGAGUGUGGGAGAGGCGCGUGGAAUUGCAGGUGUAGCGGUGAAAUGCGUAGAUAUCUGCAGGAACACCCGUGGCGAAAGCGGCGCGCUGGACCACUACUGACGCUGAGGAACGAAAGCUAGGGGAGCAAACAGG